CAUGGGGAAAGCUUAGAGGACUCUGCAUUCUGGGAAGGAAAAGGGGUAAACAUAUACACCAGGUCCCAACUAGGACCCCUGAAAAUAACGGGGCUAUCGGAUGUACAGAGCCCGAGAAAACAUUGUAUAAAGUCUGGGCUCGGGGUUCUGUACAUCCCCGCAAUUAGUUCCACGCAGUUGCUUGGUUUAGUCCGGUGGAUUCAAACUUCGCACCAAUAGGCACUCAGGGAGGGGAGGCGUUCCGCUAGCCAAUCAGGGAAAAAGGCGCAAAACCAAAGUGCGCCAAUCAGCG